UACGUAGGGUGCGAGCGUUAAUCGGAAUUACUGGGCGUAAAGCGUGCGCAGGCGGCUUGCCAAGUCAGAUGUGAAAGCCCCGGGCUUAACCUGGGAAUGGCGUUUGAAACUGGCAGGCUAGAGUUUGGCAGAGGGGGGUGGAAUUCCACGUGUAGCAGUGAAAUGCGUAGAGAUGUGGAGGAACACCGAUGGCGAAGGCAGCCCCCUGGGCCAAAACUGACGCUCAGGCACGAAAGCGUGGGGAGCAAACAAG
rnacentral:rRNA from 1 species